rnacentral:misc_RNA from 1 species
UGUUAUAACCUGCAAUAAAAAUUAGCAAAAUAAGGCGGCAUAUUUUAGUUAAAAUGACCCGCUUUGUCUCUAUUUAAACAGUAUAUAGGGUGAAUAAUUUAAUUGUUUCUCUAUCGCGUUGAUUUUUUCGUCGGUAAAAAGGAUCUUUUUGUUAAUAAAAUAACGGUUAUUUAACCACCAAG